rnacentral:rRNA from 1 species
UACGUAGGGUGCGAGCGUUGUCCGGAAUUAUUGGGCGUAAAGGGCUCGUAGGCGGUCCAUCGCGUCGGGAGUGAAAAGCUGGGGCUUAACCCCAGUCCUGCUUUCGAUACGGGUGGACUAGAGGUAGGCAGGGGAGAAUGGAAUUCCUGGUGUAGCGGUGAAAUGCGCAGAUAUCAGGAGGAACACCAGUGGCGAAAGCGGCUUCCUGGUCCAGCACCGACGUUCAGGCACGAAAGCGUGGGGAGCAAACAGG